CACGUAGGGGGCGAGCGUUGUCCGGAUUUAUUGGGCGUAAAGGGCGCGUAGGCGGCUCGGCACGUCCGUUGUGAAAUCGCCCGGCUCAACUGGGCGGGGUCGGCGGAUACGGCCGAGCUGGAGCAAGCUAGGGGGUAAUGGAAUUCCCGGUGUAGUGGUGGAAUGCGUAGAUAUCGGGAGGAACACCAGUGGCGAAGGCGGUUACCUGGAGCUUUGCUGACGCUGAUGCGCGAAAGCGUGGGGAGCGAACAGG
rnacentral:rRNA from 1 species